rnacentral:rRNA from 1 species
UACGUAGGGGGCGAGCGUUGUCCGGAUUUAUUGGGCGUAAAAGGCUUGUAGGUGGCCACGUCAAGUCGGAUGUGAAAUCUCCCGGCUCAACUGGGAGGGGUCAUUCGAUACUGCCGGACUAGAGUUCGGAAGAGGCGAGUGGAAUUCCCGGUGUAGCGGUGAAAUGCGCAGAUAUCGGGAGGAACACCGGUGGCGAAGGCGGGUCUCUGGGCCGUAACUGACGCUGAGGAGCGAAAGCGUGGGGAGCGAACAGG